UACAGAGGUCCCAAGCGUUGUUCGGAUUCACUGGGCGUAAAGGGUGCGUAGGCGGUCGGGUAAGUCUGAUGUGAAAUCUCACAGCUUAACUGUGAAACUGCAUUGGAUACUAUCCGGCUCGAGGAAUGGAGGGGAGACUGGAAUACUUGGUGUAGCAGUGAAAUGCGUAGAUAUCAAGUGGAACACCAGUGGCGAAGGCGAGUCUCUGGACAUUUCCUGACGCUGAGGCACGAAAACCAGGGGAGCAAACGGG
rnacentral:rRNA from 1 species